CACAGAUCUCUCCUGCAGGGCAGUAGGCCGCACAGUGCCUAUUUUCCUCUCAGCAGGGAUGCCUCUCAAGGUUGCACCCUGAGGCUGAGACACCUCUGACCCAGCAUCUGACAUCUGUAACAAGUUUCUGUGUCAUUCUUCCUAGUGGCAGUGGCAGAAAAUGGAAAGCGUCAUUUUGCAGGAACAGAAAACACAAUUUUCUUAUUGAAUUGCUCACUGCGGUCAUCCAUGUCCUUAUUAAGCUAUCUAUCUACCAGUCAGCUACCUCUGUGACAGCAGCAAUCAAGGUCAAUGAUACUUCUCGUCACAUGCUCCUGGCCAUUUAGAGUCCCGACUGCUUAAAAAUAACAACCCCAAGGGCAUACCAGCUGAAACGAGCUAUGCCCAGAAGGGGAACCUCUGCAGCUGUCUUCAUAAGAAUCCUUCUUCACCUGUAACCUGUGUGGCUCUCCCAUGUGCCUCACACAGCAGCCACUCACGGGGGAACGAGCUGCUGUUAUUUCCUGGUCUGCAGAAUCUCUUCCUGUGCUCAGCUGACUCUGUAUCAAAUUUGGGAACACGCUCUUAGUGAACAGAACAUUGCAUGUCGCCCCUCUCCUGUAAAUGAUGCACCACAAAAUAAAAUGUCCCCAUUCCAUUCUGUCACUAUCUGCCCUACCGCUGGGAUUAGAGAGAGAAGGAUGUCAGCAGGUGCUCACAGCUGAUCAAGAAUGGACUGCAACCUUUCUCUAGGGGUCCUGGGAGCGGCACUGAGAAGACUUCAAGACACACCACGUAGUCCCCUGCCCAUGGGUCCUUCACAGUCAGGAAUACCAAACUUCUUCAGUCUUCAAGGUCCAAGCCUGAAGUUAGGUUGUGAAGAGCUUGGGGUGUUUGUUUCUGAAGGGUUGGGAUAUUGACUUGGUUGUAGUCAACUUGGGAGAUCAACUCUGAAAGGCAGAGCACCAGGCUCAAAUUCAGCCCAAACAAUACUGAUGGGAGGCUGAUCAGAGAGGACAGUAAGUAAAUAAAUUGAUUUCCCCAUGCAUUGUAACUCAGGUUUCCAGACUGAUAUAAUACAGUUUGCCUGCAUUAAAAACUGGGCACUUUCAAUGAUAUAGUUGACCCACUGAUGCUUUUCAGGAUUAAGGAACUACAGUUUUGAAUUAGUGGCAGCUAUAAAUUAGUCCUAUGGUACUGCUGUGCACACACCAUGUCAAGUCUGUUUGGUUGUUAUUAAUUGGAGAAGGAUGGCAUGGGAAUUGUCUAUGUAUAGCUAAUUAAAACCUUUCCAAAAGCAGGAAUUUGGUGUUUGCAGUAAGCACUGAUGGCCAUGUUUCAAUAGACUGCAGCAUUAUUUGCUUAUCACAUUUGCUUUCAUCCUACUCAUACUAUAUGCGCGCAAUCCCAUUCUCCCAGACUUCUAUCAGUCACUUCCAGCAAUGAGGAAAUUCUAUUUUCUUGAUGUGUAACUCAGUUUCUGUCUUGUUUGUUUGCUUGCUUGCUUUUCACCUUUUCUUUUUUGUAACAGAGAUUCAAAACAGGAAAAGAUGAGACAUUGUGUAUUAGGGGAAGAUUCAGACUUGGUUUGUGCGUUUUGUUCAUGCAUGAUUUGGGAUCAGGAUUUGGUGUUCAUGUCCUUGUGUUUUGCUUUUAUUAUGGAACAAGAUUCAUUUCUCAGAAUCACCUGAGCAUUUUCUUAUGAUAAGUUCCUUAGUUUUCAGUCAACUUGCAAAAUUGGCACUCUCU